AAGGAAAGAGAAAACGAUAUUAGCAUUAGCUGCUAAUAAUUAUUCACCCCUAAUUAGAAUAAGCUGCUAAAAGCAGCCUACUUAGCAUUAACUCCUCACAUCGUUGUUACCCAACGGAAAAGAGUAUUAGUAUUAGCUACUGUCAUUUUUAAUAAGUAAGAGAAAACAGUGUUAGCAUUAUUGAAUAAUGCUAAUUCACAUUAAAUUAGCAUUUGCUGUUUACAACAGUGUACUUAGAAUUAGCCGCUCACACUGUUAAAAAGUAAGGGAAAACAGUAAUUAGCAUUAGCACAUAAUCCUAAUUCACUUCAAAGUAGCAUUAGUUAAUAAUGGCAGCCUACUUAGCAUUUACUGCUCACUAAUAUAAUGCUAAUUCACAUCAAAUUAGUAAUAGUUAAUAACGGUAGACUUCGUAUCAUUAGCUGCUGUCAUUCUUACAAAGCAAAGGAAAACAUUAUGAGCAUUAGCUGCUAAUGCUUUUUCACCUAAAAUUAGCAUUAGCCACUAAUGGUAGCCUAUUUAGCAUUCACUCUUCACAUCGCAGGGGAAAAGUUCAAAUUGAGUGAAAAAUAGUGUUCACAUUAGCUACUCAUAUUGUUAAAAAGUACGAAAAAACAUUGUUAGCAUAAGUGGAUAAUGCUGAUGUAACAGAGUUAGAAAAUAGCUUAAUGAAUUUCCUCAAAAUUGAUGUGCUUUGUGAAUAGUUGGAGCCACCUGGUGGACAAAUACAGCAACUGCAGCUGUUAAGGUUCCAAAUUGCUGCACAGCGCAUGCCUCAGCAAAGGAAAAUACUCCCGAGCUGGUGAACUGAAUGUUGCAGUUGCUUUGCACAGUAUUAAUGACAACUGUGUGCUGUUUUCUUUGUACCAGUUGCCAGAAUAAAGAGGGAGCCCAGAGUAAGGGCAAGUCCAGCGUUGCGGUGCCGUCCUUUCUACAUGGGCAUAUCACGCCACUUGCACGAUAGACUCACAGAACAGCAACAGCUACACUAAUUCACCUUAAAUUAGUAUUAGCUAAUAACAGCAACCUACUUAGCAUUAGCUGGUCACAUUGUUAUAAAGUAAGAAAAUAUGGUAUUAGCAUAAGCUGCCAAUUCCUAUUCACCUAAAAUUAGCAUUAGCCACUAAUGGCAGUCUACUUAGCAUUAACUGCUCACUAAUAUAAUGCUAAUUCAAAUCAAAUUAGCAUUAGCUGCUCACAUGGUUAAAAGGGAAGGGAAAACGAUAUUAGCAUUAACUCUAACUAGCAUAAUGCCUAUUUGCUUUAAAUUAGAUGUAGGUGCUAAUGGCGGCCUACUUAGCAUUAGCAGCUGAGAUUGUUGUAAUGCUAGGGAAAAGAGUGUUAGCAUUAGCCGUUCACAUUGUUAAAAAGUUAAGGGAAAUAGUGUUAGCAUUAGCUACUCACAUUGUUAAAAAGUAAGUGUUAACAUUAGUGCAUAAUGCUAAUUCACAUCAAAUUAGCAUUAGUUAAUAACGGUAGCCUAUUUAGCAUUAGCAGAUAAUGUUGAUCUUGGCCCACUAGAAAAGUUCAGAACUAAGGAUUUAGGAGUUUUUCUUGAUUGCUCUUGCUCAUUUGAG